rnacentral:rRNA from 1 species
CGAAUACGAGACGCUACGGCGUCGAAGUAGUGUAUGUCACACUUCCAAGAAAAGCUUGCACUGUCAUAAAUAAAAAUGCCUGUACCAUAACCGACACAGGUGGGUAGGUAGAGUAUACUAAGGGGCGCGAGAUAACUCUCUCUAAGGAACUCGGCAAAAUAACUCCGUAACUUCGGGAGAAGGAGUGCCUUAUUUACAUAGGUUGCAAUAACAAGAUCCAAGCAACUGUUUACCAAAAACACAGGUCUCCGCUAAGUCGUAAGACGAUGUAUGGGGGCUGACGCCUGCCCAGUGCCAGAAGGUUAAAGAAGUUGGUUAGUAUCUGCGAAGCUGAUAACUGAAGCCCUGGUGAACGGCGGCCGUAACUAUAACGGUCCUAAGGUAGCGAAAUUCCUUGUCGGGUAAGUUCCGACCCGCACGAAAGGCGUAAUGAUUUGGAUACUGUCUCGGAGAGGGGCUCGGUGAAAUAGACUUGUCUGUGAAGAUGCGGACUACCUGCACCUGGACAGAAAGACCCUAUGAGGCUUUACUGUAACUUGAAAUUGAAAUUGGACUUUAUUCGCGCAGCAUAGGUGGGAGGCUUUGAAGAUACUCUUGCGGGAGUAUUCGAGCUAUCAGUGAGAUACCACUCUUAUAAUGUUAGAUUUCUAACUUUGAACCAUUAUCUGGUCAAAGAACAGUUUCAGGCGGGCAGUUUGACUGGGGCGGUCGCCUCCUAAACGGUAACGGAGGCGUACAAAGGUUUCCUCUGAACGGAUAGAAAUCGUAUCUAGAGUAUAAAGGCAUAAGGAAGCUUGACUGUGAGACCUACAAGUCGAGCAGGGACGAAAGUCGGUCUUAGUGAUCUGACGGUACUGAGUGGAAAGGCCGUCACUCAACGGAUAAAAGUUACUCUAAGGAUAACAGGCUGAUCUCCCCCAAGAGUUCACAUCGACGGGGAGGUUUGGCACCUCGAUGUCGGCUCAUCGCAUCCUGGGGCGGUAGUACGUCCCAAGGGUUGGGCUGUUCGCCCAUGAAAGCGGUACGCGAGCUGGGUUCAGAACGUCGUGAGACAGUUCGGUCCAUAUCCGGUGUAGGCGUUAGAAUAUUGAGAGGAGCCUUCUCUAGUACGAGAGGACCGAGAAGGACAUACCUCUGGUGUACCAGUUAUCGUGCCAACGGUAAACGCUGGGUAGCUAUGUAUGGAGUGGAUAACCGCUGAAAGCAUCUAAGUGGGAAGCCCACCUCAAGAUAAG